CAGAUCUCCUCAGAGAAAGAAAACGCCCGAAAUUGGAGUCUAGGACCAUCACGAGCGAGGAGUGGGGUUGAAGGUGGAGGUGGGUGCGGAUGGAAGGUUCUCCUCCCUGAAGAGUCCCCCCUUGGUCGCCGUCAUCCAGCGGGAACCCUCUCCAGGAUCACAGGCUAACCCAGACGCUCCAUUCCUGAAGACUUACAGCUGCCCCCACACAAGGGAUUAAUUUACAGAGAGCAGAAGGAAGAGGGAGAGAGGAAUAGAAACAUCAG